CAUGAACGCUAGCGGCAGGCCUAAUACAUGCAAGUCGAACGAUAUUAAGGGGCUUGCUCCUUAAGAAAGUGGCGCACGGGUGCGUAACGCGUAUGCAACCUACCUUAAUCAGGGGGAUAGCCCGAAGAAAUUCGGAUUAACACCGCAUAAAAACACAGGAUAGCAUUAUCCAAUGUUCAAAUAUUUAUAGGAUUAAGAUGGGCAUGCGUGUCAUUAGCUAGUUGGCGGGGUAACGGCCCACCAAGGCGACGAUGACUAGGGGAUCUGAGAGGAUGACCCCCCACACUGGUACUGAGACACGGACCAGACUCCUACGGGAGGCAGCAGUAAGGAAUAUUGGUCAAUGGAGGCAACUCUGAACCAGCCAUGCCGCGUGCAGGAAGACUGCCCUAUGGGUUGUAAACUGCUUUUAUCCGGGAAUAAACCUUUCUACGUGUAGGAAGCUGAAUGUACCGGAAGAAUAAGGAUCGGCUAACUCCGUGCCAGCCGCCGCAGUAAUAC
rnacentral:rRNA from 1 species